AGAACGAACGCUGGCGGCAUGCCUAACACAUGCAAGUCGAACGAGACCGCUGACUUCGGUUGGCGCGUCUAGUGGCGCACGGGUGCGUAACGCGUGGGAAUCUGCCCUUGGGUUCGGGAUAACAGUUGGAAACGACUGCUAAUACCGGAUGAUGACUUCGGUCCAAAGAUUUAUCGCCCAGGGAUGAGCCCGCGUCGGAUUAGCUAGUUGGUAGGGGUAAAAGCCUACCAAGGCAAACGAUCCGUAGCUGGUCUGAGAGGAUGAUCAGCCACACUGGGACUGAGACACGGCCCAGACU
rnacentral:rRNA from 1 species